rnacentral:rRNA from 1 species
GCUUACACAUGCAAGUCGAGCGGGGGAAGGUAGCUUGCUACCGGACCUAGCGGCGGACGGGUGAGUAAUGCUUAGGAAUCUGCCUAUUAGUGGGGGACAACAUCUCGAAAGGGAUGCUAAUACCGCAUACGUCCUACGGGAGAAAGCAGGGGAUCUUCGGACCUUGCGCUAAUAGAUGAGCCUAAGUCGGAUUAGCUAGUUGGUGGGGUAAAGGCCUACCAAGGCGACGAUCUGUAGCGGGUCUGAGAGGAUGAUCCGCCACACUGGGACUGAGACACGGCCCAGACUCCUACGGGAGGCAGCAGUGGGGAAUAUUGGACAAUGGGGGGAACCCUGAUCCAGCCAUGCCGCGUGUGUGAAGAAGGCCUUAUGGUUGUAAAGCACUUUAAGCGAGGAGGAGGCUACUUUAGUUAAUACCUAGAGAUAGUGGACGUUACUCGCAGAAUAAGCACCGGCUAACUCUGUGCCAGCAGCGGCGGGUAAUAAAA